rnacentral:RNase_P_RNA from 1 species
AAAGCAGGACAGACAACCGCUGCCUGCCCGGUAACGGGCAGGGGGAGGAAAGUCCGGACUCCAUAGGGCAGGGUGGUGGCUAACAGCCAUCCACGGCAACGUGCGGAAUAGGGCCACAGAGACGAGUCUUCGCCCCGGGUCUCCCGGUGCGAAGGGUGAAACGCGGUAACCUCCACCCGGAGCAAUCCCAAAUAGGCAGACGAUGAAGCGGCCCGCCGAGUCUGCGGGUAGGGAGCUGGAGCCGGCCGGUAACGGCCGGCCUAGAGGAAUGGUUGUCACGCGGCGGAUCCGUCCGCCGCGCACAGAAUCCGGCUUAUCGGCCUGCUUUGCCU